GGCCUGGCACAGUAUUGGACACAUCUUCUUUCCCACCUGGAUGUGGAUCGCACUCGUCUUCUGGGUGACGCCUGCCGUAGCCGGAUUAGGUCUGGUCGUGAUGGUCUUCGUCUCCGUCCGGGCGCAGGGAUUUCAGGAU
rnacentral:misc_RNA from 1 species